GAGGAAUAUUGGUCAAUGGACGCAAGUCUGAACCAGCCACGUCGCGUGAAGGAAGACGGCCCUACGGGUUGUAAACUUCUUUUAUACGGGAAUAAAGUGCCCCACGCGUGGGGUUUUGCAAGUACCGUACGAAUAAGGAUCGGCUAACUCCGUGCCAGCAGCCGCGGUAAUACGGAGGAUCCGAGCGUUAUCCGGAUUUAUUGGGUUUAAAGGGUGCUCAGGCGGGGGAUUAAGUCGGCGGUGAAAUUUUGCAGCUCAACUGUAAAAGUGCCUUGGAAACUGGGUUCCUUGGGGGGGGAUGGGGUAGGCGGGAUUUGGGGGGUAGGGGUGAAAUGCAUAAGUAACACGGGGGACGCCGAUUGGGCAGGCAGGUUACCAAGCCGUAACUGGCGGUCAAGCACGAAGGCGUGGGGAACAAACA
rnacentral:rRNA from 1 species